rnacentral:rRNA from 1 species
GACGAACGCUGGCGGCGUGCUUAACACAUGCAAGUCGAACGAGGCCCCUCCUUCGGGAGGGUGUCCUAGUGGCGAACGGGUGAGUAACACGUGGGCAACCUGCCCCCGGCUCUGGGAUAACCCCAAGAAAUUGGGGCUAAUACCGGAUAUGACCGCUGACCGCAUGGUCUGGUGGUGGAAAGAUUUAUCGGCUGGGGAUGGGCCCGCGGCCUAUCAGCUUGUUGGUGGGGUAGUGGCCUACCAAGGCGACGACGGGUAGCCGGCCUGAGAGGGUGACCGGCCACACUGGGACUGAGACACGGCCCAGACUCCUACGGGAGGCAGCAGUGGGGAAUCUUGCGCAAUGCGCGAAAGCGUGACGCAGCAACGCCGCGUGGGGGAAGAAGGCCUUCGGGUUGUAAACCCCUUUCAGGAGGGACGAAGCGUGGGCGGUGAAUAGCCGUUCCGCGUGACGGUACCUCCACAAGAAGCCCCGGCUAGCUACGU